GUUUAAGCACCUAGUCUUGAUACUUUGUUAUGCAGUCCAGCAGAGUCAUGUGUCAUCUUUGCACAAUCAAUACACUUGUAACUUUCUGAAUCAGGAUUUGGGGAGUGUCACUUAGGCCCCCCACCAAAGUCCCACACUGGCUAUCACUAUGCAGAAAGUGCUCUGAAAUUUUCAUCAGUGGUCCAUAAUGACCAAAAGAUGAAGAACCUAGUGAGAAAAAAAUAGUCCUCAGGGAGUUCAUUGCUUUGGUUUCCUGGAACGGGAUAUGCUGUUACAAUAAUGGCCUUUGGGUCAAGUCCUUUUCAUAUGAAAACUCAUUGAAUGCUCACGCGAUGUCUUCAAAUGAGUUGCCAUUGUUUUCUCAUCCUAUGAGAUAACCAAGAGGUCACCGAGUUUGUGCGUAGAGUUGCUGGGGAUGUAAACCCAGGCCGCCUACCUCCUUAGUCUGCUAUGCAAACCUGCAGGAUUCUGUGAAUAAGAGAAGCCUCAGUGUCUUCCACCUCUUUCUUUCUCCUAAACGUUUCCUGAUGACUUAUUUGUUGUUAUUUCUUCUCCUUUUAAUCACCCAGGAUCUGCUACUUGGAAACUGGUUUAAAAACAACAGACCUUUUUUGGCAUCAACUGCUAAAAAGACAUCAAAUGGAAGAGAAUAUAUUGGCACCAGGAUCAUAGACGCACAGGCCGGAUACCCUGUUUCAUUUGUGGUUCCGUGAAGAGGGACACUUCACCUACGCAUUUUCGGCUCUUUCUCUGCCCAUUUUACUUUCUCUUCCCUGAGGAGGUGGUGUAACUUACCAGGCUGAUAAAUUUGGGAAAAGUCAAGUGGGCUCACCCACUGCAGCCCAGUCUCUCUUUUGUGUGGUCCUGGCUGCCCGCAAAAGGUAAUCCUGGCUCCUCCAAGCUCUAGCCUCUUCUGCCAAUAGCCCGUAUAAAGGUGCCGGGUGUGGAAGGAGUUUUCUGUGCUCUCUAUCACAUCUUUUUGGUCCAUCUUUGGUUGCAGCCACAUCUGCAGAAAUUCAAGUUCAUACUCAGGUAGCAGAGACAUCUCCUGCCCCGCCCCUGCUCCCCCCACCUCCAUCCAGGGCAUAUCACAAGUCUUUCCACUUCCUGACUUCUCUGGGGCUGUGAGAAGCUGCUUGACCCUCAAAAUCUGGCAGUGGAAGUAUCAGGGAGCUAUAUCCCUGGAGACACUACUCGACCAAUCAGGAGGGAAGCCAAGGAUGCUUACUCCCGACUCCCAUCCUUCAAACUCUCAUUUCUGCUUCCUGGAAUCACCUUCCAAAUAAUCUACCUAUACCCAAGCCCUCGUCAUAGUCCCUCAUUAGGAAACAACCCAAAUGAAGACGCUGCUCAAUGCUGUAUUCUGUGAACUGAGCUGUUUUGCUUUGGCAUGAAGCAAAGUCCUAAAACCUCUAUCCCCAAUAAAGUUUCUGUUUUACCUCUAUAUUAAC
rnacentral:lncRNA from 1 species